rnacentral:rRNA from 1 species
AGCGAACGCUGGCGGCAGGCUUAACACAUGCAAGUCGAACGCCCCGCAAGGGGGGUGGCAGACGGGUGAGUAACACGUGGGAACGUACACUUUGGUUCGGAAUAACUUGGGGAAACUCAAGCUAAUACCGGAUAAGCCCUUAUGGGGAAAGGUUUACUGCCGAAGGAUCGGCCCGCGUCUGAUUAGCUAGUUGGUGAGGUAAUGGCUCACCAAGGCGACGAUCAGUAGCUGGUCUGAGAGGAUGAUCAGCCACACUGGGACUGAGACACGGCCCAGCCUCCUACGGGAGGCAGCAGUGGGGAAUAUUGGACAAUGGGGGCAACCCUGAUCCAGCCAUGCCGCGUGAGUGAUGAAGGCCUUAGGGUUGUAAAGCUCUUUUACCCGGGACGAUAAUGACUGUACCGGGAGAGUAAGCCCCGGCUAACUUCGUGCCAGCAGCCGCAGUAA